UGGGGAAUAUUGCACAAUGGGCGCAAGCCUGAUGCAGCCAUGCCGCGUGUAUGAAGAAGGCCUUCGGGUUGUAAAGUACUUUCAGCGAGGGAGGAGUGUGUAGUAAACCACAGCAAUUGACGUUACUCGCAGAAGAAGCACCGGCUAACUCCGUGCCAGCAGCCGCGGUAAUACGGAGGGUGCAAGCGUUAAUCGGAAUUACUGGGCGUAAAGCGCACGCAGGCGGUCUGUCAAGUCGGAUGUGAAAUCCCCGGGCUCAACCUGGGAACUGCAUCCGAAACUGGCAGGCUAGAGUCUUGUAGAGGGGGUAGAAUUCCAGGUGUAGCGGUGAAAUUGCGUAGAGAUCUGGAGGAAUACCGGUGGCGAAGGCGGCCCCCUGGACAAAGACUGACGCUCAGGUGCGAAAGCGUGGGAGCAAACA
rnacentral:rRNA from 1 species